rnacentral:lncRNA from 1 species
AAAUAAAAAAAGGAAGAAGGAAUAAAAAAAACAAAAUAAAGAAAAAAGAGAGAAAAAAAAGUGAAAAAGUUUUGGCGUUUUGUGAAAAAAGAAAAAGAGAAAAAACGUGUUAGGAGGAAGAGGUAGUUUUUGGAGGGGACAGCAGAGACUCGAUUUUGGAUUUAGCAGAAGAAAACAGUUACUGAAAAAAAGGGGUGUAAGCAACACCAUCGAGAGAGAACGAAUAUUCACGGGCAGACUCCUUUUUUUUUUUUCUAGCGAUUCCCCAGCUCCUCUAAGUGGUAACUACCUCAACCACAUUUUUUGCCUUUCAAUUCCAAUUCUUCAACCAUCGCAUACAGUCACACAAUCUUUUCCUCUCCAUCACUCCCCUCCAACCUUCGGCGGCCAGCACCCUUCCACCACCUUCAUCCUCAUCAAAUCUCCGGCCAACUUCAAUUUCUAUAUUCACUCUCCAUUACCCCCAAUGCCAUCUUCUCCUUUUUCUCUCCAUCACUCACCCAUGACACACACGACACUACUUUUUUUUUUCCUCACGACUUCUUUUUCCCCUCACCGGUAACAACCAAAUAAGGUUUCCUUUUACCUCCAAGAUUUCCCUUCACCACUCUACCAUGUUUCCCAACCUCAUCACCUACACACUCACUCACCAUUUUCCUAUCCUCCAUUUUUCUCAUCCAAAUCCACCACAAACCCUUAUCACAAACACCUCAUAUGCAUAUUCUCAAACCAAAACAGAGAAACUCAUUCAUUACCUCCAUCACCAUUACGCAAACUCAUCUCAACACUCAAAGUAAAAAACAGAUAUCAAAGGCAAGUUCUAAGUUCACACGAAGGGUGGCAACAAUAUCAACACAGAUAUUCUGUUGAAUUUCGAGGCAAAUUUGAAGCAAGUUGCACAAGAAGACUCAUGGCAGCUCUCGGAGACGCAGCAAAGGUAAGCCUAAUUGGAGAAUGUUGCGGCAAGCCUAGAUCAAUGGCAAGUGCCGUCGCAGGUCGACGACUUGAAGUGGAAUGAUCGGACGAAGGUACACCCAUGGAGGGAGGAGCUGGCGUGAAUGGUCUCGUGGAUUUCGUUUGAUGCAGCUGCGACGAUGACCUUGGCGGCGACGCGAUGGUGGAAGAAGGAAGGCUCGAGAGGGAGCGGCAGCCCUGGCUUGGUGGCAAUGGCAACCUGCAAGGCGAACGGCCGACGUCGCUCACGAACGAGGAGGUUUUCUCUCGCGCAUAGGGAGGAGAGAGAAACCGCUCCGACAACGGUUUUCUCUCGGACGACGGCUUGUGGCGGUCCGCACGGUGGCGGCUGGUUCGGUGACAGGCGUAGGUGUGCGCCUGAGAGGAAGCUGCUGCCUCCUUGGUUUAGCUUCUGCGAAUGAGAGACAUCUCUCAAGUUUGGAUGGAGUUGCAAAAAACCCUAAUUGGGUUCUGAUGAAAAAACUUUGGACCUAAGCCCAAACGAUUCUGGCCGUGCCACCCCCAUUUUGGUUCUGCAAGUAAAGAAGGAGCUGGGCCACCACGCAACACUAUUCACAGCCCUUUCCAUUGGGUUGAAGUCAGUCUGCAUUUGGCAAGCAAAAAAAAAAAAGAUUUGGGCAUUGGGCCCAUUUCGGUUCUGCACCUCCAACUUUACUGUUACACCUCUUCCUUUGGGCUGGACCAAGAAAUAUCGAGUUGCACUCCUGGAUUUUAUCUCUGCACCCCUAUUCUUAUUGGGCUGCUCUUGCUUUUAUUUUUAUGUUUUUGUUUCUUUAUUAGUUUUUACUGUACGUAGCCCCUUGUAUGAUAAUCCCACCCCCAUUUCUUGUGUUUUAUUUUUAUUCAUUGGGUUUGUUUAUUUAAAUAAAAAAAAUAAACAAAAAUCAACAAAGAAUUAUUUUAAAAGGUUAAAGCACACGUGCGACCAUUCUGUCGGCCUUCUGUUGAAAACCUUUUUCUUCUCCUUUCAAAAAAUCAAUAAAAAAAUUAUUUCAAAAGGUUUAAGCACACGUGCGACCAUUCUGUCAGCCUUGUGUUGAAAACCUUUUUCUUCUUCUUUCCAAAAAAAAAAAUUAUUUCAAAAGAUUUAAGAACACGUACAACCAUUCUGUCGGCCUUGUGCUGAAAACCUUUUUCUUCUUCUAUCAAAAAUUAACAUAAAUUAUUUCAAAAGGUUUAAGCACACGUGCGACCAUUCUGUCGGCCUUGUGCUGAAAACCUUUUUCUUCUUCUUUCAAAAAUUAACAAAAAUUAUUUCAAAAGGGUUAAGCACACGUGCGACCAUUCUGUCGGCCUUGUGCUGAAAACCUUUUUCUUCUUCCUUCAAAAAAUUUAUGUCAAAAGGUUUAAGCACACGUGCGAUCAUUCUGUCGGCCUUGUGCUGAAAACCUUUUCCUUUUUUCUAUAAAAACACCAAAAAAUAUAAAAUCUUCAGAAAAAACUAAAAACAUCUUCAAACAAACAAUCUUUCAACUAGAACUACGUAAACCUGAUUUUUCAUUUUCAAUGAGAAAACGUAGGAGCAAGGUCAAUCCAUGUCGGGCCCAAAAAACAAAAAAAUAUAUUUUGUUUCUUUAUAAUGUCUUUUUUGGGGAUAGUUAAACAUUUUGAAAACCACAUCAAAGUCGAAUAUCUAAUUAAAGGUACUGCCUUCGGGCAGGCGUUGUAGGGUGCUAAUACCUUCCCUACACGUAACCGACUCCCGAACCCAAUCUUUGGUUUUCGUAGACCUAGCUUUAUCAUUUUAUGGUUUUUCUGUAGUUUUCCAGAAUAAACUAUGGUGGCGACUCCAAAAAACUUUUUCUAAAGCGUUUUCUUUUUUUGGAUCGUCGUCCCGUUGCGAUUCUGGUUGCGACAGUAUGUUCUCUGUUAAGGAGGAUGCAAAGAACCUUAAAUGGCACGUUUUAGGAAGAAAGUGCGAUAAUCUUCUUCGACACCCAGCAAACUCACCACAGUGGAAGAAGAUCGAUGAAACAUUUCCAGAAUUUGGUGCAGAUCAAAGAAACUUAAGACUUGCACUUGCAACUGAUGGCAUGAAUCCGUACGGGAACUUAAGUACCUAACGCAGUUCAUGGCCAGUUAUGUUGAUGAUAUACAAUCUUUAUCCUUUGUUGUGCAUGAAGAGAAAAUAUGUCAUGUUGUCAAUGAUGAUAUCUGGUCCUAAACAACCUGGCAAUGACAUUGAUGUUUACUUGAAACCUUUAAUUGAUGAUUUCAAAUUGUUGUGGGAAGAAGGUGUCGAAGUGUUUGAUUCAGAUGUUGAAGAGAAUUUUCGUUUGUGUGCAAUGUUGUUUUGCCCUAUAAAUGAUUUCCCAACCUAUGGAAACUUGAGCGGUUAUAGUGUUAAAGGACAUUUUGCAUGUCCAAUUUGUGAAGAAAACACUAGUUACCUUCAAUUGAAGCAUGGUCAGAAGACAGUUUAUACAAGACAUCGGAAAUUCCUUCCUCGCAAUCACCCUUAUCGUAGAUUGAAAAAAGCAUUCAAUGGAAGUGCCAAGGAUGAGGUUGUGUGCAGACCCCAGAAUGGUGAAGAGGUGUACAACGAAGUCAAAAACAUUAACAUUGUAUUCGGAAAACAUCGUAAAAGUACAUAUGCAAAAAAUGUUUGGAAGAAACGAUCAAUAUUUUUUAAUCUUCCUUAUUGGUCUAUACUCGAUGUUAGACAUUGUAUUGAUGUGAUGCAUGUAGAAAAAAAUGUUUGUGACAGUGUCAUCGGAACUUUAUUAAACAUGAAAGGGAAGACCAAAGAUGGAAUAAAAGCAAGACAAGAUUUGGCUGACAUGGGAAUCCGAACAGAGUUACAUCCACAGACAAUAGGUAGACGCACCUAUUUGCCCCCAGCCUGUCAUACUCUUUCUAAAAAAGAAAAACAAAGUUUUUGUAAGUCUUUAAGAAGUGUGAAGGUUCCACAAGGUUAUUCUUCUAAUAUUAGUAACCUUGUUUCUAUGCAAGAGAUAAAGUUAGUUGGUUUAAAGUCUCAUGAUUGUCAUAUAUUGAUGCAACAAUUGUUACCAGUUGUUAUUCGAUGCAUAUUACCUCCUUCUGUUAGGGGUAUUCUGACACGUCUGUGUUUUUUUUUUAAUGCCAUUUACAAGAAAGUUGUUGACCCUCGAUGUUUAGAUCAAUUGGAAAAUGAAGGAAUAAGACUACUAUGUGAAUUGGAGAUAUAUUUUCCACCUUCUUUUUUUU